rnacentral:rRNA from 1 species
GUUACUCCGGUCGUACGUGUCCGUAGGUACGAGUUUUCGGUAUCCUGGCGUCAGGACGAACGCUGGCGGCGUGCUUAACACAUGCAAGUCGAGCGAGGCCCAUCCUUCGGGGUGGUGCCCUAGCGGCGAACGGGUGAGUAACACGUGGGCAACCUGCCCUCAGCUCUGGGAUAACUCCAAGAAAUUGGUGCUAAUACCGGAUGUGACCGCUGACCGCAUGGUCUGGUGGUGGAAAGAUUUAUCGGCUGAGGAUGGGCCCGCGGCCUAUCAGCUUGUUGGUGGGGUAGUGGCCCACCAAGGCGACGACGGGUAGCCGGCCUGAGAGGGUGACCGGCCACACUGGGACUGAGACACGGCCCAGACUCCUACGGGAGGCAGCAGUGGGGAAUAUUGCGCAAUGGGCGAAAGCCUGACGCAGCGACGCCGCGUGAGGGAUGACGGCCUUCGGGUUGUAAACCUCUUUCAGUAGGGACGAAGCGCAAGUGACGGUACCUACAGAAGAAGCACCGGCCAACUACGUG